rnacentral:rRNA from 1 species
GCAGCCGCGGUAAUACGUAGGUGGCGAGCGUUAUCCGGAUUUACUGGGUGUAAAGGGUGUGUAGGCGGGUUGGCAAGUCAGAUGUGAAAAUUAUGGGCUCAACUCAUAACUUGCAUUUGAAACUGUCGAUCUUGAGAGUGGGAGAGGUAAAUAGAAUUCCCGGUGUAGCGGUGAAAUGCGUAGAUAUCGGGAGGAAUACCGGUGGCGAAGGCGAUUUACUGGCCCAUUACUGACGCUGAGACACGAAAGCGUGGGGAGCAAACAGGAUUAGAUACCCC